rnacentral:rRNA from 1 species
GUAGUAGGUCAUCCAUAGCGGAGAGGUUUAUAUGCUGGACGGGAAAGCAAGGACAUCGCAUUGCAUUUUUUUUGUUCCUGUCCUCGAGCGAGACGGGCUGCACUACACGUGGUGUAACCUGCCCGUAAGACCGGGAUAACUCCGGGUAACCGGGGCUAAUACCGGAUACACCGAAGACCGCAUGGUCUUUGGUUGAAAGGUGGCUUUUGCUACCACUUACGGAUGGGCCCGCGGCGCAUUAGCUAGUUGGUGAGGUAACGGCUCACCAAGGCGACGAUGCGUAGCCGGCCUGAGAGGGUGACCGGCCACACUGGGACUGAGACACGGCCCAGACUCCUACGGGAGGCAGCAGUAGGGAAUCUUCCGCAAUGGACGAAAGUCUGACGGAGCGACGCCGCGUGAGCGAAGAAGGUCUUCGGAUCGUAAAGCUCUGUUGUUAGGGAAGAAGAAGUACCGUUCGAAUAGGGCGGUACGGUGACGGUACCUAACGAGAAAGCCCCGGCUAACUACGUGCCAGCAGCCGCGGUAAUACGUAGGGGGCGAGCGUUGUCCGGGAAUUAUUGUGGCGUAAAGCCGCGCGCAAGCGGUCCCUUAAGUCUGGAUGUGAAAGCCCACGGCUCAACCGUGGGAGGGUCGUUGGGAAACUGGGGGGACUUGAGUGCAGAAAGAGGAGAACGGAGUUUCCACGUGUGGCGGUGAAAAUGCAUAAAAAUUUGGGAAGGAACCCCGCGGGCGAAGGGCGGGUGUGUUGGUCGGAUAAUAAAACUAAAAGGGCGAAAGGGUGGGGGACAAAAACGAAUUAGAAUACCCAGGGUGGGUCCC